UAUAUUCACCUCACCAAUUAUUGCAAAGACUGUUAAUUCUCUUUUAUGGUUCCAUGGAAAAUGUAUUGCUAGUUUUUUUAGUUUCUAACUGUUUGUCUGUCGUUGUGACCCAUGCAGAGAACCACCAGUUUGAAUUAUUUUCCAUGCAUUAAUGAUCAUCCUGUUUUGGUCUGGGGUUUUGAGUCAUGGAGAAAGAUGGAUACCGAGACCUUCUUGACCACCUUUUCUGGCGACUCAAGUAGGACAGCAAGGAGUAUCUUGGUCAGCCAAAAAAAGGAAUUUAUCUAUUUCUCCGUCUACUUCAAAGUUGGCUUCUAGUUGGCAGGAAUCAAGGUGUAUGAAUGAGAUUCUUGCAAGAUUUCCAUAACAUUUAAACUUAAUUCUCUUGAUGUAGAGAAACAACUUUAACUCAAACUUUAUAUAUUUGUAUACCGUUUUUCAGUCAAACACAACACAAAGCGCUUAACAUACAACAAAAGCAAAUAACAUACAUAUUAAAAACACAAAAACACAGUGUUUUAAAAGAAAUUCACACAUUAACACAAAUUUAACUUCCCUCGCUCCCCUAGUUCCUCCCCCCACCCACCGAGUUCCCCCAAAAUGGCCCUAACAACAAAACUAAAAAAAGAGUCAAGAACUGCAGAAGGAAACAGUCUGGCUUGGCACUACGAUGUAGAAACGGUUUGUUAUCCAUUUAUUCCAAGGCCCAGCCCGACCACGGGGAGCAUCGCCACAGCGCCCGCUCAGCACAGGGUCAGUGCAGGGCCUGUUCUACAGAGCUGGACCCCAGCCACCCGAAUGAGAAGGGGCACCGCAGUAACAGCCCCCCUGCAGGACGAGCCCCAGAAAAGAGGAUCCCCAUGAGGAAACACUGGAGUUUAAAAUAAAUAAAUAAAUGAGAAGCAUUAAAAACAAUUAAAAAUACUUUAAUAAUAUGAAUACAAUAAUAGUAAAAUUAUUGUUAGUAGAUUAAAAUAAGAAAUUAGUUUAUAAAUUAAUAUAAAAUGAUUCACAUAGAAGUUUAAAAAAAUGUAAAAAAAAAUAAUAUAAAACUUAAUAACUACAAAGGUCAUGUAAAAGCGAGUGUCACGAUUCUGCCCCACCCUCACCUGCCUGAUUGCUCAUUCUGAACACCUGCGCGCUCCUCUAUUUAAGACUCUUCCCCUCCAGGCUCAGUACUGGAUUGUUGUCUACUCCCUGAAGUUCUCAGUACGCACGCCUUGCUGUUUUGUCUCGUCCUCGACCCUGCUCACACUCUGGAUUCCUGCUCCUGUCUUCACCCUUCGGUACCUCCGCCUUGGACCCACUCUGAUCUCCGUGUUGCCGACCCUCGCUUCGUCCACGUCUUGCCGCCCCUGCCUUCUCCUCUGAAUAUUUCUGCUGCCCUGAAGAACCCUUGGACUCCCCCUACUGCUUGGAGGACCUUACUGCAGACCUAAUAAACUGCUUUACUUAAC